UACGAAGGGUGCAAACGUUGCUCGGAAUUAUUGGGCGUAAAGGGCUCGUAGGUGGCCAACUAAGUCAGACGUGAAAUCCCUCAGCUUAACUGGGGAACUGCGUCUGAUACUGGAUGGCUUGAGAUUGGGAGAGGGAUGCGGAAUUCCAGGUGUAGCGGUGAAAUGCGUAGAUAUCUGGAGGAACACCGGUGGCGAAGGCGGCAUCCUGGACCAACACUGACACUGAGGAGCGAAAGCCAGGGGAGCAAACGGG
rnacentral:rRNA from 1 species